CAUAAUGGAGCACUUGACAAAAACACAUGCAUUGAACUUUGGGGUGUCAUCAGAGCUGGACCCCUUUUACUUUCAUUGUCUGGAUAUUAAAAAGAAAACAGAAAUUCUUCAAAAUAUUUUCUGUUUCGUACCAAAGAAUUGAAACCAUCCAGGUUCUGGAAUAGCAUAAGUGUGACUAAUAAAGUGCCUAACCAACACAAAAGCGAUCGACAACCUUCUAGUUUCAAAUCAAGUUUCUUGUUGUUAAGGUAUGUAGGUAAUUAGCAGAAAGAUAUUAACAUGUGGUGAGUCUUUGAUUGUGAGUUGUUUUUGAUGCCAUGUUUAUCUUUACAGCAUAAAGAUAUAUAAAAAUGAACCAUCAAUAGACAGCUUUCUCUUGUUACCAGUCAUGAGACAUGUCCUAACAUGCCCACUGCUAGAGUAUAUUGCUAAAAAUGCUCAACAGAAUAGCAUUAUUGUGUUAACAAUCAAACAACGGAUGCUCUAAAGUGAAGUAUAAAUAAAAGAUGAAUAAGAUAAUAGGAAUACUUGGUAAAAUGAUUUGCAUCCAGUUCGCAGAGUGCAGCCUUUUAGUCAUACGGUAUGUUGCACAAUAU
ensembl:lncRNA